UACGGAGGGUGCAAGCGUUAUCCGGAUUCACUGGGUUUAAAGGGUGCGUAGGCGGACAGGUAAGUCAGUGGUGAAAUCUCUGGGCUUAACCCAGAAACUGCCGUUGAUACUAUUUGUCUUGAAUAUCCUGGAGGUAGGCGGAAUAUGUCAUGUAGCGGUGAAAUGCUUAGAUAUGACAUAGAACACCGAUAGCGAAGGCAGCUUACUACACAGUAAUUGACACUGAGGCACGAAAGCGUGGGGAUCAAACAGG
rnacentral:rRNA from 1 species